rnacentral:lncRNA from 1 species
GAGGAGGCUGAGAUAGGAGAAAUUGCAAAUUCAUUGCCAGUCUGGCUAAUGUAGUAACUUAAAUUUAAGACUAAGAACUGAUAAUGUAGCUCAAUGAUUAAGCACCCCAAUAAUGAGACACUCUAUGGACCUUGAAGAAGUGGGGCCUAGUGGAAGCCCUUAGGUCAUUGAGCAGGGUAUUAAGCAGUUUUUGUAGUAUUGUAGCUGGGUGUGGUGGUUCACACCCAUAAUCCUAGUGUCUCAAGAGUUGAGGCAGAACUAUCACAAGAUCAAGGCCAUCCUCAGCAACUUAGUAAGGUCCUGUGCAAUUUAGCAAAACUUUGUCUUAAAAUAAAUUAUAAAAGCCGGGUGUGGUUGCACAUACCUGUAAUCCCAGUGGCUCCAGAGGCUGAGACGGGAGGAUCAUGAGUUCAAAGCCAGCCUCAGCAAAAAGUGAGGCCCUAAGCAACUCAGUGAGACCCUGUCUCUAAAUAAAAUACAAAAUACGGCUGGGGAUGUGGCUCAGUGGUGGAGUGUCACAUCUCACGACUAAACAUCAAGGUCACUCCAGGUGAACUGGGCUACACGAAAUAACCACACAGAGACAUGGAAAUACCUUUUUCUUUGGUUCCUGUGGUGGCUCCUCUGACCUUAGGGGUCCGUGUAAAGAGACAGAGCGAGGAGCAUGUGCUGUACCCUUUUAUGGGGAAGAAGCCACUCAAAUGAGGCAAGGAUUAAGAUUACAAGGGAACAGAUAAAUUUAACUCAACCCCUCUGGGUGUGGCCUACUCAUCUUAUUUAUCUGAGUCUUUCAGAUCCCUGUGGUGCAUCAGGACUUAAAGGUGCAUGCAUUUGGAGUGGCUCCCCACAGUUGAGUGCCCCUGAGUUCAAUCCCCAGUAUCAAUCAAUAAAUAAAUAAUAAAAAGGAUUUUGAUGUGGCUCAGUGGUUAAGAAUCCCUGGGUUCAAUAUCCAGUACAAAAACAAACAACAACAACAAAAAAAAACAGUUAUUGUGGUAUCCCUUCAUUAGUUCUUAUGAGUGCAAGUUGUUACAAAAGCAAACCUGAACUCUGAAUUGCUCUUUGCCUUCUCAUCUGACAAUGUGAUCUCUUGUUCCUGAACAUGCCCCUGCCAUUGUGAUGUCCACUGCCAUGAUGGGAUGUACCAACAGGCCCUUCUCAGAGCUGUCACAAUGCUGUUGGAACUUUCAGAAUCCAAAACUGCAAACUAAAUAAAUCUAUUUCUUUUAAACAUUCAUUCUCAUGUAUUUUAUUAUGGUAACAACAAACUCACUAAUACACAUGCACACACCAUAGACAAAAUUCAACUCAAAGGAGAUCAAACAAUUAAGCAUGCGACUUGAAACUCUGAAAAUGCUAAAAGAAAACCUAGGGGGAAAGCUUCAUGCUGUGUUUAGGCAGUAAUUUUUUUGGAUAUCUCCCAAACAUGAGCUCUUUGUCUAACCCAAAGAAAAUAGACAAAUGAGAUUAUAUGAAAUAAAAAGCUUUAGCACAGCAAAGGAAACAAUCAACAAGGGGUAGAUAUCACCUAUGGAAUGAGGGAAAAUAGCUGCAAACCAUACAUGUAACUCGAUAGGAAGAAAAUAAGUUGAUAUAAAAAUGGACUGAAAACUUGAAUAGACAUUCCUCAAAAGAAGACAUAAAAAUAGUUCAAUAUUACUAAUCAUUAGGGAAACACAAAUCAAAAUCAUAAUGAGAAGUCACCCACACCUAUUAGACUGGCAAUUACCAAAAAAAUGAAAGGUGAAAAGAAUUGGUGGGGAUGUGAAGGAAACAGAAAGGUGUCACCAAGUUGUUUACUAGGGCCUAGCUAGGGCUGGCCUUUAACUUAUCAUCCUGCUGUCUCAGCCUUCUGAGUCGCUGGUAUUACAAGAUGUACCACCACACCCAGCUCAUGUAAUUUACUGAAUAUUAUACUGAAAGUUAAAAAAAAAACAAAAAACAGAAUUGUUGUAUGGCUAUACUUCUGCAGAAUUAUGAAAUCAAAAAUUAUUAAGUUGAACCAUCAUAAUUGGUGGACCAUCUGGACUUUGGACUUCUCCUCUAUCACUAUAAGCUGUAAGGUGAACUGGCAACUUAAAAAAACAGGAAUGAGGGGCUGGGAUUGUGGCUCAGUGGUAGAGCACUGGCCAAGCACGGGCAGGACCUGGGUUGGAUCCUCAGCACCACAUAAAAAUAUAGGCAUUGUGUUG